rnacentral:sRNA from 1 species
GCUGGGCUCGGUGCCGCAGGCCUGUAAUCCCAGCAGCCUUGGAGGCUGAGGCAGGAGGAUCUCAAGUUCAAAGCCAGCCUCAGCAACUGCGAGGCACUAAGCAACUCAGUGAGACCCUAUCUCUA